UACGUAGGGGGCAAGCGUUGUCCGGAUUUAUUGGGCGUAAAGAGCGUGUAGGCGGCUAGGUAGGUCCGUCGUGAAAACUCGAGGCUCAACCUCGAGACGCCGAUGGAAACCAUCUAGCUAGAGUCCGGAAGAGGAGAGUGGAAUUCCUGGUGUAGCGGUGAAAUGCGCAGAUAUCAGGAAGAACACCCGUGGCUAAGGCGGCUCUCUAGUACGGUACUGACGCUGAGACGCGAAAGCGUGGGGAGCGAACAGG
rnacentral:rRNA from 1 species